GAGAUAGUCGGGAGAGAGAGAGAGAGAGAGAGAGAGGAGGGAGAGAGAGAUGGCAUCGGGCGACAUCAAGGGUUUCUACCGGCAAAAGAAGAAACAUCAGAAGGGCGGCAUCAGCAAAUCCGUCUCCGCCUCCGCCUCCGCCUCGAAGAAGAAGAAACCUAGCAAAUCAGGCGGUGGCGCCACUUUGGGGGCCACCGAUCCUCAGACACCUGCUCUCUUUGCGCAUGGCGCGUUUGAUCUCACAGAUGACUAUGGCGAGGACGAGGAGAGGCUGAGGCAGUUCGACAUGGACAUGAGGUACGGCCCCUGCAUUGGUCUGACGCGUCUCCAACGCUGGGAGCGAGCCUCUUCCAUGGGCCUCCACCCCCCAGCCGACCUCCGCAACCUCCUUACUCGUGCGUCCGGGCCCAAGUCCCCCGAUCUGGAGUGCCUCUGGGAGGGGCGUGUCUAAGGAAGUAGGAGGAUGGGGAAUUAUUUCCGUCAACCACGUCAAAGGAAUGGAUGUUCUUGAAGAUUGGUCAGACAUAUCGUUGCUUCUGCACCUAAUGCUCUGCGGUGGAAAGGCUUGAAGUUAAUUCUCACAGAAGAUCUGAAAUUUCUUUUCCGCAACAAUGUAAACCUGUCUGAUUUAUAUCAUCAAAACCCAUCUGAUUCAUUGAAGGCAACAACGUGACAGUCUUUGUUCGGUGGUGACACACCAUGUGAAGUCAAUAUUGCAUGAUGAUGGUAGCGACUAAUAGAUUGUUUUGGGUACAGGAGAUUGACAAUUUUGAGCUGUGAUGGAGUCUGCCUUUUUGUAAUGUCGACACUAAGAACCUUUUUGUAAUGUCGACACUGAUACUUACUCAUCAUAACUUUCAUGUUAUAGAGGAUAUUAUCAAUAGAUAUAUGAUGAUAAUUAAUAUUUGUUUUC